rnacentral:rRNA from 1 species
GUCCACGCCGUAAACGGUGGGCGCUAGUUGUGGGACCUUCCACGGUCUCUGCGACGCAGCUAACGCAUUAAGCGCCCCGCCUGGGGAGUACGAUCGCAAGAUUAAACUCAAAGGAAUUGACGGGGCCCCGCACAAGCAGCGGAGCAUGCGGCUUAAUUCGACGCAACGCGAAGAACCUUACCAAGGCUUGACAUAUAUGGAAAAGCGGCAGAGAUGUCGUGUCCGCAAGGGCUCUAUACAGGUGGUGCAUGGUUGUCGU